UACGUAGGGGGCGAGCGUUGUCCGGAUUUAUUGGGCGUAAAGAGCUCGUAGGCGGCUUAGCAAGUCGGGUGUGAAAACUCCAGGCUCAACCUGGAGACGCCACUCGAGACUGCUAUGGCUAGAGUCCGGUAGGGGACCACGGAAUUCCUGGUGUAGCGGUGAAAUGCGCAGAUAUCAGGAGGAACACCGGUGGCGAAGGCGGCAUCCUGGACCAACACUGACGCUGAGUGAGCGAAAGCCAGGGGAGCAAACGGG
rnacentral:rRNA from 1 species